CCAUGUCAGAAAAUUAUUCAACAAUCUAAGGGUUCCAUGACUGGAUGUGCCCAUUGGACAAUGCCCCAAGGAAGGGUUGAUGUGGGGCUCCACCCACCAACACCUCCUGGCAAACAUUGUCUUCACCUCAGUAUGCACGGCAAGAUAGACCUGAAACUUGGCGGCACCAAGUAGAGUAUGUUAUAUGGCAGUUUAUUCAAAAGUAUCUACUGUCAAGGGAUCAGUGAUUUGUCUUGAAGGUGUCAGCAGGCAUAGCUCAAAAGAGACAUCACCCAGAUGAUAUGGUAUUGAGAGUUAGAUGCAGUUAUAUACCAGCCACUGUUUCCUCUGUCACCUGCACUACCUGACCAUGUAGCAUCGCCUUGUCCUGCCCGUUAUGUCAGUUAUCCAUAUAAAUCAGGAAAUUGUUGCGGGAAAUUCACAACCCAGAAGUUGCAGAUUAUGCUUAGAAAGGAUUCUCAACUAGAACCCAAUACAAUCACAAAAUAUAAUGCGACAUAAACUGGUAGGUGG